ensembl:lincRNA
CACAUAUUAAUGUUAUAUACUAAAAUAGUUUAUUUGACCUACAGGUUCAUUUUUUUCUCUCCUGAUGUGAAAAAGGAACUUGUGAUGGGCCCUGAAAGUGUUCUAAGUCCUGGAUCUGAUGCCUUCUGAGCUUGUUGAGGAGCCAGGUCCUGACUUCUCUCAUAGAUGUGCAAACGAGCACAGCCUCAGAGUUGUUCCCUUAGGACUGAAGCAAAGGGCUCAGGGAAACUCAUCUCCAGGUCUAUGGGCCAGGACUCCAACACCAGCGAUUUACAGGAGGCAGCGGCUGUUGGUGGACCAGCAGGCCUGUGAGAAGGUCGGGGAAGCUAUCAUGAUGACGCCAGACUAGAUGCGGAGGCGAAGUCUUGCUCUUACUCACCCAUGGCUUCCUGACUCAUCCCCAGACAGGCCCUCCCAGCCACUGGAGUAGGAAGAGGCAAUGGACUUGAGAUUCACAGAUGACCUCAGGGAGAAGGAAGCAGAAAAGGUUGCUCAGGUCAUUUUAUUCUAGGACACUAGACUUUUGUUCUAGAGGCUUCUACUUGUUUCACUUUAACUCUACCAAGAAUUUUGUGAUUUGAGUCCCAAAGAGGUCCCUAUAAAAUAUAGUAUUCACACAAAUCGCACCUUGCACCAAUGGAUCUCCCUCCCUGGCCUUGUCCUCUGGUAGUGGUGCUGUGGCAGAACACUCCUGGGAGCCAGAUUCCCAGAGCCUCUGGUGAACUUCCAGUGGAACAAGGCAGUGUAUGCACAGAGGACCUGAUGCGGGCAGUGUGAAGGUAUAAGCAGCAUGAGGAGAAGCCUCCAGCACACCAUUUUCAAGCCAUUAUUCACAGAUUUCUCAGCCACUCCUUCCUCAGGAAGCACCCAGGAAAAGGGCAGGGAGGCUGUGCAUUCCAGGCUCUAGGAAAUGAUCUUUACUUCCACCAAAGCAUCUCUCGGUAAUAACUUUAUACAUUGGAUGCCUAAGUAAGAUUUUAUUUGAAGGAAGGAUUCUGUAGCAUAAAGCAAACCAGAAAAAAUCUCAGAAACACCAUUUUAGAGCUUGCAGCUUCAGUGGCAAACUACGUGAAUCAGGCAUUUUAAUUUUCUGCAUUCUGAUGCUGGGACAUCUGGGGCCUUAUUGAACCUGGAUGAACUGACUACUUGCUCAGAAAAGGUGAAUCAAUUCCAGAGAUGGUAGAAAAAUCAGCUGGGGGCAUUGUUUUUUAUAUGCAAACCAAACCUCUCAGUACCCUAACCACUUCUUUAUAAGGCUGUCACAUUUCAGGCUGCCUUUCAUCUACCCUGACCAUCCCCAAACCACGUACCAGACAACAGGGGACAGCUCCUACAUCCCACUGCCUGCAAAAUUGUUUGAACUGACCAAUCCUAAGCCUGAGUGUCCUGCCUUGCCUCUUCCUCCAAUGAAAACCAUGAGGAAUGUUCUUGCCUACAUUUCCUGUCUUCUGCCACUUCCUCUGCGACUCCCACUAAACUUGGGCUUCCUUAUGUGCCCUGCACAGAGUUUUCCUUUCUAGGGAACUUUGAUAUAAACUUCCUAUCCUUGC